rnacentral:rRNA from 1 species
AUUGAACGCUGGCGGCAGGCCUAACACAUGCAAGUCGAACGAGUGGCGGACGGGUGAGUAAUGUCUGGGAAACUGCCUGAUGGAGGGGGAUAACUACUGGAAACGGUAGCUAAUACCGCAUACCAUCGGAUGUGCCCCGAUGGGAUUAGCUAGUAGGUGGGGUAAAGGCUCACCUAGGCGACGAGCCCUAGCGGGUCUGAGAGGAUGACCAGCCCCACUGGAACUGAGACACGGGCCAGAAUCCUACGGGAGGCAGCAGUGGGGAAUAUUGCCCAAUGGGCGCAAGCCUGAUGCAGCCAUGCCGCGUGUGUGAAGAAGGCCUUCGGGUUGUAAAGCACUUUCAGCGAGGAGGCGUUACUCGCAGAAGAAGCACCGGCUAACUCCGUGCCAGCAGCCGCGGUAAUAC